UACGUAGGGUGCGAGCGUUGUCCGGAAUUAUUGGGCGUAAAGAGCUCGUAGGCGGUUUGUCACGUCUGCUGUGAAAUCCCGAGGCUCAACCUCGGGCCUGCAGUGGGUACGGGCAGACUGGAGUGCGGUAGGGGAGAAUGGAAUUCCUGGUGUAGCGGUGGAAUGCGCAGAUAUGAGGAGGAACACCGAUGGCGAAGGCAGUUCUCUGGGCCGUAACUGACGCUGAGGAGCGAAAGCGUGGGGAGCGAACAGG
rnacentral:rRNA from 1 species